GAAAUCCGGAUUAAUACCCCGUGGUAAUAUAAAAUGGCAUCGUUUUAUAUUUAAAGCUUUCAAGCCCUACGGGAUGGCUAUGCGUCCUAUUAGUUAGAUGGUGAGGUAACGGCUCACCAUGGCAUCGAUAGGUAGCAGCCCUGAGAGGGGGAUCCCCCACACUGGUACUGAGACACGGACCAGACUCCUACGGGAGGCAGCAGUGAGGAAUAUUGGACAAUGGGCGGAAGCCUGAUCCAGCCAUGCCGCGUGCAGGAAGACGGCCCUACGGGUUGUAAACUGCUUUUAUACGGGAAGAAUAAUCACGACGUGUCGUGGGAUGACGGUACCGUAAGAAUAAGGACCGGCUAACUCCGUGCCAGCAGCCGCGGUAAUACGGAGGGUCCGAGCGUUAUCCGGAAUUAUUGGGUUUAAAGGGUCCGCAGGCGGGCUUAUAAGUCAGGGGUGAAAUGGUGCGGCUCAACCGUAGCACUGCCCNUUGAUACUGUUAGUCUUGAGUUAUGGUGGNAGUGGCCGGAAAUAUGUAGUGUAGCGGUUGAAAUGCAUAGAUAUUACAUAGAACACC
rnacentral:rRNA from 1 species